rnacentral:rRNA from 1 species
AGGCAGACGGCUCAGUAACGCGUAGCUCACACUUCUAACCUAUGGACGGGAAUAACCUCGGGAAACUGAGUAUAAUGCCCGAUAGAACAUUAUGCCUGGAAUGGUUUAUGUUCCAAAUGAUUUAUCGCCGUAGGGUGGGACUGCGGCCUAUCAGUUUGUUGGUGAGGUAAUGGCCCACCAAGACUAUUACAGGUACGGGCUCUGAGAGGAGUAGCCCGGAGAUGGGUACUGAGACACGGACCCAGGCCCUAUGGGGCGCAGCAGGCGAGAAAACUUUGCAAUGUGCGAAAGCACGACAAGGUUAAUCCGAGUGGUUUCUGCUAAAGGAACCUUUUGUCGGUCCUAGAAACACCGAUGAAUAAGGGGUGGGCAAGUUCUGGUGUCAGCCGCCGCGGUAAAACCAGCACCUCAAGUGGUCAGGAUGAUUAUUGGGCCUAAAGCAUCCGUAGCCGGCUCUGUAAGUUUUCGGUUAAAUCUGUACGCUUAACGUACAGGCUGCCGGGAAUACUGCAGAGCUAGGGAGUGGGAGAGGUAGACGGUACUCGGUAGGAAGGGGUAAAAUCCUUUGAUCUAUUGAUGACCACCUGUGGCGAAGGCGGUCUACCAGAACACGUCCGACGGUGAGGGAUGAAAGCUGGGGGAGCAAACCGGAUUAGAUACCCGGGUAGUCCCAGCUGUAAACUAUGCAAACUCAGUGAUGCAUUGGCUUGUGGCCAAUGCAGUGCUGCAGGGAAGCCGUUAAGUUUGCCGCCUGGGAAGUACGUACGCAAGUAUGAAACUCAAAGGAAU